AUUGAACGCUGGCGGCAUGCUUUACACAUGCAAGUCGAACGGUAACAGGCCGCAAGGUGCUGACGAGUGGCGAACGGGUGAGUAAUGCAUCGGAACGUGCCCAGUCGUGGGGGAUAACGCAGCGAAAGCUGCGCUAAUACCGCAUACGAUCUCUGGAUGAAAGCGGGGGACCGAAAGGCCUCGCGCGAUUGGAGCGGCCGAUGUCAGAUUAGGUAGUUGGUGGGGUAAAGGCCCACCAAGCCAACGAUCUGUAGCUGGUCUGAGAGGACGACCAGCCACACUGGGACUGAGACACGGCCCAGACUCCUACGGGAGGCAGCAGUGGGGAAUUUUGGACAAUGGGCGCAAGCCUGAUCCAGCAAUGCCGCGUGCAGGAAGAAGGCCUUCGGGUUGUAAACUGCUUUUGUACGGAACGAAACGGUCCGGGUUAAUACCCUGGACUAAUGGCGGUACCGUAAGAAUAAGCACCGGCUAACUACGUGCCAGCCGCCGCGGUAAUAC
rnacentral:rRNA from 1 species